UGCCUCACCCUCACGGAGGGUUUACCUUCUGCAGACUCUAGUGGCUGGAGAACUGGGAUGCAGUGCCUGGCCUGUGAGGUCCUGCAGCAGAUGUGGGGAUUUUUUCUUCUUUAUGUUUCCCUGAAGAUGGGAGGUUCUGCAGGACAAAGCAUUGAGCAGCCCACUGAGUUGAUGGCUAUGGAAGGAGCCUCUGUCCAGGUCAACUGCACGUACCGGACAUCUGGGUUCAAUGGGCUGUCCUGGUACCAGCAACUCGAUGGUGGAGCACCCAUAUUUCUGUCUUACAGUGUUCUGGAUGGUUUGGAGAGGAGAGGUCGGUUUUCUUCAUUCCUUAGUCAGUCUGAUAGGUACAGUUACCUCAUUCUGAAGGAGCUCGAGACGCAAGACUCUGCCUCUUACCUCUGUGCGGUGAGAGACACAGUGAUCGUGAGGCCUCUUCAGCUGUCCCCAAAUUCAAAAGGCUACCAUGGCAGUGAGAAGUUAUAUUUCUUGAGUGUUUGUUUGCUGAGAGUUAAGAGUGGGGUUUUUGAAACCAGACUGUUUGGAUUUGAGUUUGCAACUUCCUAA